GAUGAACGCUGGCGGCGUGCCUAAUACAUGCAAGUCGAGCGAACAGACGAGGAGCUUGCUCCUCUGACGUUAGCGGCGGACGGGUGAGUAACACGUGGAUAACCUACCUAUAAGACUGGGAUAACUUCGGGAAACCGGAGCUAAUACCGGAUAAUAUAUUGAACCGCAUGGUUCAAUAGUGAAAGACGGUUUUGCUGUCACUUAUAGAUGGAUCCGCGCCGCAUUAGCUAGUUGGUAAGGUAACGGCUUACCAAGGCGACGAUGCGUAGCCGACCUGAGAGGGUGAUCGGCCACACUGGAACUGAGCCACGGUCCAGACUCCUACGGGAGGCAGCAGAAGGGAAUCUUCCGCAAUGGGCGAAAGCCUGACGGAGCAACGCCGCGUGAGUGAUGAAGGUCUUCGGAUCGUAAAACUCUGUUAUUAGGGAAGAACAAAUGUGUAAGUAACUAUGCACGUCUUGACGGUACCUAAUCAGAAAGCCACGGCUAACUACGUG
rnacentral:rRNA from 1 species